GAUGAACGCUGGCGGCGUGCCUAAUACAUGCAAGUCGAGCGAACGGACGAGAAGCUUGCUUCUCUGAUGUUAGCGGCGGACGGGUGAGUAACACGUGGAUAACCUACCUAUAAGACUGGGAUAACUUCGGGAAACCGGAGCUAAUACCGGAUAAUAUUUUGAACCGCAUGGUUCAAAAGUGAAAGACGGUCUUGCUGUCACUUAUAGAUGGAUCCGCGCUGCAUUAGCUAGUUGGUAAGGUAACGGCUUACCAAGGCAACGAUGCAUAGCCGACCUGAGAGGGUGAUCGGCCACACUGGAACUGAGACACGGUCCAGACUCCUACGGGAGGCAGCAGUAGGGAAUCUUCCGCAAUGGGCGAAAGCCUGACGGAGCAACGCCGCGUGAGUGAUGAAGGUCUUCGGAUCGUAAAACUCUGUUAUUAGGGAAGAACAUAUGUGUAAGUACUGUGCACAUCUUGACGGUACCUAAUCAGAAAGCCACGGCUAACUACGUG
rnacentral:rRNA from 1 species